rnacentral:rRNA from 1 species
GAUGAACGCUGGCGGCGUGCCUAAUACAUGCAAGUCGAGCGAACGGACGAGAAGCUUGCUUCUCUGAUGUUAGCGGCGGACGGGUGAGUAACACGUGGAUAACCUACCUAUAAGACUGGGAUAACUUCGGGAAACCGGAGCUAAUACCGGAUAAUAUUUUGAACCGCAUGGUUCAAAAGUGAAAGACGGUCUUGCUGUCACUUAUAGAUGGAUCCGCGCUGCAUUAGCUAGUUGGUAAGGUAACGGCUUACCAAGGCAACGAUGCAUAGCCGACCUGAGAGGGUGAUCGGCCACACUGGAACUGAGACACGGUCCAGACUCCUACGGGAGGCAGCAGUAGGGAAUCUUCCGCAAUGGGCGAAAGCCUGACGGAGCAACGCCGCGUGAGUGAUGAAGGUCUUCGGAUCGUAAAACUCUGUUAUUAGGGAAGAACAUAUGUGUAAGUAACUGUGCACAUCUUGACGGUACCUAAUCAGAAAGCCACGGCUAACUACGUGCCAGCAGCCGCGGUAAUACGUAGGUGGCAAGCGUUAUCCGGAAUUAUUGGGCGUAAAGCGCGCGUAGGCGGUUUUUUAAGUCUGAUGUGAAAGCCCACGGCUCAACCGUGGAGGGUCAUUGGAAACUGGAAAACUUGAGUGCAGAAGAGGAAAGUGGAAUUCCAUGUGUAGCGGUGAAAUGCGCAGAGAUAUGGAGGAACACCAGUGGCGAAGGCGGCUUUCUGGUCUGUAACUGACGCUGAUGUGCGAAAGCGUGGGGAUCAAACAGGAUUAGAUACCCUGGUAGUCCACGCCGUAAACGAUGAGUGCUAAGUGUUAGGGGGUUUCCGCCCCUUAGUGCUGCAGCUAACGCAUUAAGCACUCCGCCUGGGGAGUACGACCGCAAGGUUGAAACUCAAAGGAAUUGACGGGGACCCGCACAAGCGGUGGAGCAUGUGGUUUAAUUCGAAGCAACGCGAAGAACCUUACCAAAUCUUGACAUCCUUUGACAACUCUAGAGAUAGAGCCUUCCCCUUCGGGGGACAAAGUGACAGGUGGUGCAUGGUUGUCGUCAGCUCGUGUCGUGAGAUGUUGGGUUAAGUCCCGCAACGAGCGCAACCCUUAAGCUUAGUUGCCAUCAUUAAGUUGGGCACUCUAAGUUGACUGCCGGUGACAAACCGGAGGAAGGUGGGGAUGACGUCAAAUCAUCAUGCCCCUUAUGAUUUGGGCUACACACGUGCUACAAUGGACAAUACAAAGGGCAGCGAAACCGCGAGGUCAAGCAAAUCCCAUAAAGUUGUUCUCAGUUCGGAUUGUAGUCUGCAACUCGACUACAUGAAGCUGGAAUCGCUAGUAGUCGUAGAUCAGCAUGCUACGGUGAAUACGUUCCCGGGUCU